UGGGGAAUAUUGCACAAUGGGGGAAACCCUGAUGCAGCGACGCCGCGUGAGUGAAGAAGUCAUUCGUGAUGUAAAGCUCUAUCAGCAGGGAAGAAAAUGACGGUACCUGACUAAGAAGCCCCGGCUAACUACGUGCCAGCAGCCGCGGUAAUACGUAGGGGGCAAGCGUUAUCCGGAUUUACUGGGUGUAAAGGGAGCGUAGACGGAGCAGCAAGUCUGAUGUGAAAGGCGGGGGCUCAACCCCGGACUGCAUGAACUGUCAAGCUAGAGUGCUGGAGGAGGUGAAAGUGGAAUUCCCUAGUGUAGCGGUGAAAUGCGUAGAUAUUAGGAGGAACACCAGUGGCGAAGGCGGCUUACUGGACAGUGACUGACGUUGAGGCUCGAAAGCGUGGGGAGCAAACAGGAUUAGAUACC
rnacentral:rRNA from 1 species